AACGUAGGACGCAAGCGUUAUCCGGAGUUACUGGGCGUAAAGCGCGGGCAGGCGGCUGUCUAAGUCUGAUGUGAAAGCGCCCGGCUUAACCGGGCGAGGCCAUUGGAAACUGGAGAGCUGGAGGGCAGUAGAGGCAGGCGGAAUUCCGGGUGGAGUGGUGAAAUGCGUAGAGAUCCGGAGGAACACCAGAGGCGAAGGCGGCCUGCUGGGCUGCACCUGACGCUGAGCCGCGAAAGCCAGGGGAGCGAACGGG
rnacentral:rRNA from 1 species